CAUGUCCUACUUUCUUCUCCUUACCCUUUCUGUUCUGUCAAGUUUGUAUCCACGCUGGCGUCUCGUGGUUCUUUCCUGGAACACUGAGCCUCUUCUUCGGAAUGCUGUAAAAGUCAACAGUGCCCGUGCCCACAAUGAAGAGGUUUAGGAGAUACUGCAGGAAAUGUUGGGGAGAGACCCACAGUUUGUUCACAGGAAUCACACUGCCCAGGCAUGGUUACCGUCCCUCCGAGGCUCCCGCUGUCCAAGGCUCAGCUCAGAGGGUAGCAGUGCUGGAUGACGGAGUGACCCCAGGAUCACAGAGAAGUCUCCGAUCUGACCAGCGGAUCAUCCACUCUACCAGUCUCCCCGCAUCGCCGAACAUGCUCUGCAGUGCCAGAGGAAGGUCUUCCCGAGGGGGGCCAGCACUGCCCUCAAGAGCUCGGAAUCUGUGUCUUCCGGGUUUAAUGGACUCGGGUACCCAAAAGGAAUGGUUUGAUGAUCUCUGCACUGUGGGCUUCUCUCGCUUGUCAUCUGGAACUCUAUACAUUGGCUUUUGUUUUAAGCCAAACAAUCCUGCCCUUCUUUCCCAGUUCAUGACAUCAGACUGCAGAGGGUUCUCCGACGUGCUCCCUGACUGCAGAGGGUUCUCCAAGGUGCUCCCUGACUGGUUACCUAGUGCUGAAGCUGAAAGGGCCUGGCUUUCGAAAUGUCGGGCACCCACACUGUUUAGAGAGGACAGGUUUUCAGGUUCCUGUGACUCAGGAGUGACAGCAAAGCAGGAACCAGCUCUGUACACAUUCUCACUGAUGGUCUUGCUCUGGCGUCGUUUUAAUGUUGUGUGUACAUCAAAAAGUAAAGAAUUAAGUUCAUGUUCUCUAAGGCGCCCAGAAAAGCUUGUCAAAAAUGGA
rnacentral:lncRNA from 1 species